rnacentral:rRNA from 1 species
GUCUAUGGCCAUACCACCCUGAACACAUCCGAUUUUGUCUGAUCUCAGAAGCUAGGCAGGGUCGGCCUGGUUACUACUUGGAUGGGAGAAACAGGUAACCACUUUCA